rnacentral:rRNA from 1 species
CGCGUAGGCGGCCUGUCAAGUCAACUGUGAAAUCUCCGGGCUUAACUCGGAACGGUCAGUUGAUACUGUCAGGCUAGAGUGCAGAAGGGGCAAUCGGAAUUCUUGGUGUAGCGGUGAAAUGCGUAGAUAUCUGGAGGAAUACCGGUGGCGAAGGCGGCAUCCUGGACCGACAUUGACGCUGAGGAGCGAAAGCUAGGGGAGACGAAC